rnacentral:lncRNA from 1 species
UUUGUUUGGAAUAAAAUAUUAUUUGUUUUGAAUAAAAGAUUCAUAAUUGGAACUAAAAUUAUACCUAAGGUAAUAAAAGGGGCAAUUACUUAUAUACCUCUGAAAAAUUCUCGAAUUUCUGAUUUACCUAUUUUUAUUAAGGGAUAAUUACGUAUCAAAUUCGAGAAUUUUUCUGAUUUACCCAUUUUGAGGGUUGUAUAGGUAAUUAUCCUGAAUUAUUGAAAAUAUGAAUAAAAAAUUUAUACUUUUUAUUUUUAAAUAUAAAUUAUCUUAUAUUUUAUAUUUUAUACCGAAUCCAUUUUUUAAGCCGAAUUUUUCAACGAAUUUAAAAAUUAGAAAAUAAAUUUUAUGCGUAUUAUAUCUGUACCGAAUUUUUGUGGAAUCUGAAUUAACUAACUAUGCUCAAGAGGCGGUAAACAAUUUUUUG